AGAGCUUUGGCGCAGGCCGCCUGCGCGCUGUGCCAGGAAAGCGCUUGGAGAAAAUGUCCGGCCCCGCGACCUGGGACAGGAAGUGAUGGAGCACGGACUUAGUUUGCCUUUCAGUUCUUGUAUAAAUAGUUUUGAGGGUUGUCUCUGAAUUUUCACUCAGUUGUCUACCAAGAUGUUGAAUGGACCCAGAGCCAAGGACGUGGUCUUUUAUCAGUGGCACCUGAGACUUUCUUCCCUGUGGACGCAAAUCCAUUAUUCAGCACUCUGGGCACAGCUACAGAUCUGAUCAGCUAUCCAUUCUCCAAACUAUCUCAUCCUCUGUCCCAUUUUUCUGUCUCUCUUGUCCACAAGGCAUAUACCUGAGAGUUUUCAAAUUCCUCAGAGAAAUUUAGAUAUUCUGUGGCUUUGGCAUUCACCUAAUGUGUUAAUCUACAAACCUUUUUUACAGUGUGGAUUUUUUUUCAUGAUGUGAAUUCAAGUGGUUUCUAAUGGUCUCUUCAUAAAGUUGUAAACCAAAAGUAAAAUUCUAAGGCCCCACCCCAUCUGAAUGGACCCCUUCUCUGGGCCAGGGCACUCCAAAUUAACCUGAAAACCGUUCAGGCCACGACAUGAAGUGGGGGCGGGUGGGACAUGGCUGACUAUGCCCUCCUCCCUUUUGGAAUUCAGGGAAAGCCAACACAGACCUUAAGUCUAAUGAGAAACACCAUCUAUUCUCUCUGAAGCCUGCUACCCCAAGGCUUCUUCUGCUGAUAAAACUUUGGUCUCCACAACCUCUUAUAACCCAGACAUUCCUUUCUAUUGGUAAUAACUCUCAACUAAUUGCCAAUCAGAACAUUUUUAAAUCUACCUAUAACCCAGAAGCCCCCACUUUGAGUUGUCCUGCCUUUCUGGACUGAACCAAUGUAUAUCUUGAAUAGAUUUGAUUGAUGUCUCACGACCCUCUAAAAUGCAUAAAACCAAGUUGCACCCCAGCCACCUCCUGAGGUCUGUGUCAUGGGCGUGGCCACUCUAUUUGGCUCAGAAUAAAUCUCUUCAAGUAUUUCACAGAGGUUCAGCCUUUUCAUUGACAAAGUAUUCAUAUCACUUGUUGAAGAAUCCUUUCUAGAAUCUUCCACAGCUCUUUGAGCUGUAGUUUCUGAAGUCCAUCUUUAUUCUCCCUCCCAUCACUGGCUCCUGUUUUGUUCUCCAGAACUCUGAAAAUACUAACAACUAUGAUUUUGUGACCCAAUUUGGAAGUUCUUACAGGGAAACCUCAGCAAGAAACAGCUCAGUGCUAGACGCAGUGGCUCAUGUCUAUAAUCCCAGUACUUUGGGAGGCUGAGGUGGGAGGAUCACUUGAGGCCAGAACUUCAAGACUAGCUUGGGCUAUUUUAAAAUUUUUUAAAAGGGGGAGCAUCUCAGUGACUGCAGCAGGCCUCAGCCUCCACUCCCAACAGUUAGUUGGGCUCUACCAACUGUUGGCCGAGUCUCCAACCUGGAGUACCACAGCCAUCAUCACCCAUGGCACCCAGGAGUGCUCCGUCAUGCUUUCCCUUUAGUUCUAGGGGUAGAAAAUGCCUUCAUUCAAGAGAGGACACACUUAAUGAAUGCAACCAGCUAGAAUCCACCCUUUUAAUAUUUAAAUAUAAUCCACCCUUAUAAUAUUUAAAUAUGUGGCUUUGUUUAAUCCUCCCCAUGCCAAGGCACCAUAUCCACAUUUUACUGAAGAGAAAACUAGAGUUCAGAGAAGGUAACUUGCCUAAAGCCAAGCAGGCAGUAAGAGGAGAUUCAAGCCCAGAUCCUUUUGUGCUUUUUCUGCAUCAUCUCAGGGGCAGCAAGGCUGACUCUUGAAAGGGAGGUUAAUUACUAUGAAAUUAAGGUUUAAAGAAAAAACACCCUGGCCAGGCGCGGUGGCUCACAGCUGUAAUUCCAGCACUUUGGGAGGCUGAGGCGGGUGGAUCAAGACCAUCCUGGCUAACAUGGUGAAACCUCGUCUCUACUAAAAAUACAAAAAAUUAGCCAGACGUGGUGGCAGGUGCCUGUAAUCCCAGCUACUUGGGAGGCUGAGGCAGGAGAAUGGCGUGAACCCGGGAGGCGGAGCUUGCAGUGAGCCGAGAUUGCACCAGGCACUCCAGCCUGGGCAACAGAGUGAGACUCCGUCUCAAAAAAAAAAAAAGAAAGAAAAAACACCCUGCGUGCAUACUCAUAUGAAUGUACAAAUGGAUGAGUCUAGAACAAGAGAUACUAGCCUGUUACAUACACAAACUAUGCAGCUGCAGUCCCUGCUGCUUCUACAACCCUGACCUCUAAGAAACCUCUAGCUCUGAAUCCUGUCAGUACCUGGGCUGUGCUGCUUGGGACAACAUUGUCUUCACAAGUCCUCUCCACAUUCUCAGAGGUGGGGGUAUUGCCAAUGAUGGGGGUUGCUGCCUGAGUCCCGUCACCAGGGGACAAAGCUACAGCAGAGACCACCAUCUGCCAACAAAAAGAGAGAUCAUCUCCCACCCCUGGUUCUGCUGACCCAAUCACUGGAAGCAUCAAGGCACCACUAUCUCCUCAUCUGCCUCAGAUUCAAUUUCCUCCUAGCCAGGUCUGUUCUAAGCUCUCCAGAAGUUGAGAAAUUAACUGAAAGAUAACACUUUCCUCCCUGCAUUAAGGUUCAUCACAUAAUGUAUCCAAAUACUGGGUCAGUCUUUCCUUUGGUCUCGUUUCUCUCAGCUAAUUUGAAAAUGCCUUUUCUGUUUUCAUUAGAAUUUUUCUAAAUGUUUCUGGGCACUUGUGUUCCUGAGGCUUUCCAUAGUGCACCCUCUUAUGCAUCUGAUGUCUUUGGCACAUAUAGGCCCUCAACAAGUAUUUGUUAAAUGAACAGAUAACCAUCCUGUCCUUUGUGUGAACAAGCAUAUGCAAGUGUACAUUGUAUCUGUACAUGUAUCCAACAGCAUCCAUCUGAAGCCACUUUGUUCGCUUAUUUUCUCAGGAUGACUGAUGGCUGCAUCAUGACAUUUGCACACAGAAUCUUUUCUUCUCCAGUCACUUUUCCUUUUUCCAGAUUCCCGCCAUAGAAUUCCAGGGACAGAGCCAACCAUGCCUGGCACCCCCUCCUGUCCUGGGACAAUGAUACUUUCUCCCGUGACUCCCAUCUUCCUUCCAACAUUCUUCUGCUAGAAUUCAGUAAGGAAGACAAUGACUUACCACUUUUAAUUUUUUCCCCUUUUUUGCUUUUCUACCAAAUACUGCUUUUAACACAGGCUUUUCACUGAGUAGUGGACAAUCUAUCAGCUAGGUGCUAUUCAGUGUGAGGGGCAUUUGCAAAGGUCUGCAUCAGUGCUGGCUGAUGGAACUUUCUAGUGAUAGCAUCAUUCUGUAGCUGCACUGUCCAGUGCAGAGGCUACUUGCCACUGUGGCUACUGCUCAGGAUGGUGCAGGUCUGAAUAUCUUAGACACAGCGGCCACCGUGUCUACUGCACGGGACUGAAUAUUUUAGACACAGCGGCCACCGUGUCUACUGCACGGGACGGCGAGGGUCUGAAUAUCUUACAGACAGCGGCCACCGUGUCUACUGCACGGGACGGCGAGGGUCUGAAUAUCUCAGACACAGCGGCCACGGUGUCUACUGCACGGGACGGUGCAGGUCUGACUGUCUUAGACACAGCUCACCUUUGAUCCGUGUUAGGAAUUAUCCACAUCUCCUCUCUGGGCAAUAUUCUACUUUCUUUUUAUAUUGACCCAAUUAUUUUACUUCUUUGGUGUGUCCUUUCUCCUCACACACAUGGGUUCACUUUAAAACCUUGAAACCCACAUUUAUAAAACAUUUUCAAUAUGAAACAUCGUUCCAUGACUCAUAUAGUACUCCAUGGAGUACUAUAAACAUUUACAUUUCCAGACCACCCACUGCCCAGUGGUUUUCCUGGUCUCAGUACUCAUGAAAAUGGUCUGAAGGUUUGUUUUGGGUUCCUAAGCAGUAGACACACACACAACACUGCCUGUCAGUUAUUUCUUGGAAACUAAAUCAGCCCUUCUGUUGCCAUCCUAUCAUGCUUCAGGGGUGCCUGUGCUAGUUUUUAAUUCUUUGUCCUAACACUUAAAUGUUUGCUCAAACGCCCAUAUUAAUACUUCCUCUUAGUUUACAAAAGGAUUUACUUUCUUACUGGUUGGGAUGAAGCUGCCUGAGGUUGCCACCUGUUACUUUUCCUUCAUUUAUUGGACCAAGUCAUCCCAUUACAUGUCAGCUGUGGAGGUUUUCAAACUGUGGUCCCUGGACAUGUUAGAAAUGCAAAUUCUCAGGCCGAACCAGGACUGAACCGGAAGAUCUGGGGUAGGGUCCCUCCAGGACUGAAUCGGAAGGUCUGGGGUGGGGUUCCCCCAGGACUGAAUCGGAAGAUCUGGGGUAGGGUCCCCCCAGGACUGAAUCGGAAGAUCUGGGGUAGGGUUCCCCCAGGACUGAAUCGGAAGGUCUCGGGUAGGGUCCCUCCAGGUGAUCCUGUUACACAGGUUAGAGAACCACAGCAUUGGGGUGGCAAUUUGACAACUCUUUUUUUUUUUUUGAGACAGAAUCUCGCUCUUGUUGCCCAGGCUGGAGUGCAAUGGCGCACUCUUGGCUCACUGCAACCUCCGCCUCCCGGGUUCAAGCAACUCUCCUGCCUCAGCCUCCUGAGUAACUGGGAUUACAUGCACCCACCAUCAUGCCUGGCUAAUGUUUUGUAUUUUUAGAGAUGGGGUUUCACUAUGUUGGCCAGGCUGGGACAAUUCUUAAACUGUCAUUCUUUACUCACUUAUUUGCAGGAAUUCUUCUGUAAAGAACUUUUCCUAAUCAGCAAGGUUUCCCUGAUUGCAAUUUGUAGACAGAAGGUGGGAUAAUCGCUGAUCUUCCCUCAAGUGUCCACUCCCAGUGUUAGGAGUUAGUGCCCUAGGUACCUCCAAGAGUGACCAAUUACAUGUGUUUGGUUGGUUGGUUUUGGCUUUGAAACCAUCACUAUGAAUUCAUGGUUUUCAUGUAUUAGAGACCAAGUCUAGGUGCUUCAUGUGCCUACUGCUCCUGGGGCAGAGCUAGGAAAUGUGUCUAUGUGAAAGGAACAACAGAGUUAAUGCUUAUAUUUCUAUUUCAAAUUUAGUAUAUGGUUUUACACCUUUUUCUCAGAAAAAUCUUUUUUUAUUUUUUGAGAUGGAGUUUUGUUCCUGUUGCCCAGGCUAGAGUGCAGUGGCACAAUCUAGGCUCACUGCAACCUCCGCCUCCUGGUUCAAGAGAUUCUCCUGCCUCAGCCUCCUGAAUAGCUGGGAUUACAGGCACCUGCCACCAUGCCCAGCUAAUUUUUGAAUUUUAGUAGAGAUGGGGUUUCACCAUGUUGGCAAGGCUGGUCUUAAACUCCUGGCCUCAGGUGAUCUGUCCACCUCGGCCUCCCAAAGUGCUGGGAUUACAGGUGUGAGCCACCGCACCUGGCCAGAAAAAUCUUAGUUUUAGCAUUAACAUAAUUAGUUAUAGUUUUAACUCCCACCCCAGAUAAUUUCAAAGGCUUAAUACCAAUAAGACAAGUAACAAGGAGAUGAUUGAUUGAAAUUUAGGAUUUCAGUGGCUCUAUUUGUCUUUAAACUAUGGCUCACUAAAUCUGCAUACUUGAAGUGCUGCGUUCUGGCGAUGCUCUGAUGACACACGAAGUAAUAGGCUGUGUGACUGUCACCAGCCUGAUGUGCAGUUGGGCUGCAGAACCCUGUGAUGCUGCCUAGCCCAGCCAGCCCCAGGUCACUCCUCAGACUCAAACUUGAUUCUGACACCACCAGCACCCGGGAUGCUGCCUAGGGGCUUUCUCUGGUGGCAGGAGCAUGUCCUGGAUUAGGCCGGGGUGCCCGGAAUUGACCAUCCUGACCCUGUGGAGCGUGGGCUGGUGAAGGAAUGCACCAGCUCCCACAAUGAGCACGGGCCCAGCUGCCCACGUGGGAUCCGGCUCCCAGACACCCUGUGCCCUCACCUCUUUCCUGUCUUACCUCCCGCUUCCCUUCAGCUGCUGCUCAGGGCCACCUUCCAAAUUUUGGUCUCAGGGUUGGCACCUGCAGAAGACAAUCCAAGGAAUUUAGAUUCAUUCAUUUCAGAUACUAUUCUUUCAAUUUUAGGGACUAUCUUAAAACUUAGUUUGGUAAUAUGUAAAACACUUAUAAUUUCAAAGUCCAGAUAUUACUUCAGAGUCUAUUUCAGUCUCACUUCCACCAUUGACCCCUGUCCUCCACAGCAACCACUUUAGUUUUUUAUCUUUGUACUGUUUUAAGAAAAAGCAAAUAUAUAUUUGCAUUAUAUGAUAUGUACUCUGCCCCUUAUCAAUAGGUCUUCCUCAUCCCUCCUUCUGGUACUGAGUUCCCCACUGUACGAAUUAAUGUUCCUAAUCCCCUACUGAUGGACAUUUUGAUUGUUUCCAGUUUUACAAAUGCCACAGUGAAGAACUUGGUUGCAAACAUAUUUAGGCGUGAAAAGAACUCUGUGAGUAAAGUCCUUUCAUUUUUUUGCCAGAGUUUUUUUUGAGGCAGUCUAGAAUUGCUGAGUCAAAGGGCAAAUGCCACAUACUUUUGUUAGAUGCUGCCAAAUCCUCUUCCAUGAGGUUGCAAUGUUCUGCAUUCCACAGUGACGUAUGAGAGUCCUUGUAUCCCACAGCUUCAUAAACAAAGCAUGAUGUCAAACCUGCACAUUUACCAAUCACACAGGUGAGAAAUUUUAUCCUAGUUUCACCUUUGUUUUUGGUUCGCAUUUUUAUGACCAGCUUUUUUAUGGUGUAAUGCACAGAAGAUAAUGAACACACUCUACCCACAAGCUUCUUCCUGUGCCUUUGGAAUCUGCUCCUGCCAGUCUGCAGGGAACCACGGAUCUGCUUUCCGUCACGUAGGAGGCAUUCUCGACACCCUCUGUACACAGUAUGCACUUUUAAAAUUUGGCUUCUCUUACACAGCAUAGUGACUUUCAGAUUUAUUCAAGCUGCUGCGUGCACCAAUAGUCCGCUCCUUCCUAGUGCUGAGGCCCCCAUCACAUGAGCACAACUGUUUCCUGUGUGUGAUGUGUUGUUCUCUGGCUGUGCACUGCCAAAAAAGACAUCAUUAAAAAAAAAAUCUAAAUAUAAUGUAAAACCUGCCUUGUCUUAGGAAAAGUUUUUCUGGCAGUGGCUCACACCUAUAAUCCCAAUACUCUGGGAGGCUGAGGCAGGAGGACUGCUUGAGCCCAGGAGUUUGAGACCAGCCUGGGCAAGAUGGUGAAACCCUGUCUCUGUAAAAAAUAUAAAAAUUAGCCAGGCAUGGUGGCUCACACCUGUAGUCUCAGCUCCUUGGGAGGCUGAGGUGGGAGGAUUGCUGGAGCCCCGGAGGUGGAGGUUGCAGUGAGCCGAGAUCACAGCACUGCACUCCAGCCUGGGCAGCAUGGCAAGACUCUGUCUCUACCAAGAAAAAAAACAAAAAAUUAAUAUAAGGAAAAACAAAAGGUUUUUCUUACCAAAAAUACACUUUAAGGAACAAAUUUAUCAUAUUAAGUUGGUGCAAAAGUAAUCGUGGCUUUUACCAUUGAAAGUAAUGGCAAAAACUGCAAUUACUUUUGCACCAACCUAAUAUUACUUUCUAAUGACAAACUUGGAAAUAAUUGUCAUUGUUCUCUAAAAAGAACAGCCUAAAAAUAAAGCAGCAGCCCAUUUACUUCUAUGCCAGUUCUUUUAGUAUUUGGUUAUUUAAACUGGUGGUCCCUAACCUUGUUGGCACCAGGGACUGGUUUCAUGGAAGACACUUUUUCCACGGACAAGUGUGGGGAUGGUGGGGAUGGUUUGGAGAUGAAACGGUUCCAUCUCAGAUCAUCAGCAUUAGAUUUUCAUAAGCGGCGCAUAACCUAGAUCCUUCGCAUGUGCAGUUCACAACAGGGUUCCACUCCUAUGAGAAUCUAAUGCCACCACUGAUCUGGCAGGAGGCGGAGCUCGCCCAGUAAUGAUAUGACAGGGGGCGGAUCUCACACAGUAAUGCUUGGACAGGAGGCGGAGCUCACACGGUAAUGCUCUGCCGGGAGGCGGAGCUCACACGGUAAUGCUCUGACGGGAGGCGGAGCUCACACGGUAAUGCUCUGUCGGGAGGCGGAGCUCACACGGUAAUGCUGUGACGGGAGGCGGAGCUCACACGGUAAUGCUCUGUCGGGAGGCGGAGCUCACACGGUAAUGCUCUGGCGGGAGGCGGAGCUCACACGGUAAUGCUCUGACGGGAGGCGGAGCUCACACGGUAAUGCUCUGCCGGGAGGCGGAGCUCACACGGUAAUGCUGUGACGGGAGGCGGAGCUCACACGGUAAUGCUGUGACGGGAGGCGGAGCUCACACGGUAAUGCUGUGACGGGAGGCGGAGCUCACACGGUAAUGCUGUGACGGGAGGCGGAGCUCACACGGUAAUGCUGUGACGGGAGGCGGAGCUCACACGGUAAUGCUGUGACGGGAGGCGGAGCUCACACGGUAAUGCUGUGACGGGAGGCGGAGCUCACACGGUAAUGCUCUGACGGGAGGCGGAGCUCACACGGUAAUGCUCUGACGGGAGGGCGGAGCUCACACGGUAAUGCUCUGUCGGGGGGCGGAGCUCACACGGUAAUGCUCUGGCGGGGGGCGGAGCUCACACGGUAAUGCUCUGCCGGGAGGCGGAGCUCACACGGUAAUGCUCUGCCGGGAGGCGGAGCUCACACGGUAAUGCUGUGACGGGAGGCGGAGCUCACACGGUAAUGCUCUGUGGGGAGGCGGAGCUCACACGGUAAUGCUGUGACGGGAGGCGGAGCUCACACGGUAAUGCUCUGGCGGGAGGCGGAGCUCACACGGUAAUGCUCUGACGGGAGGCGGAGCUCACACGGUAAUGCUGUGACGGGAGGCGGAGCUCACACGGUAAUGCUCUGGCGGGAGGCGGAGCUCACACGGUAAUGCUCUGCCGGGAGGCGGAGCUCACACGGUAAUGCUCUGACGGGAGGCGGAGCUCACACGGUAAUGCUCUGCCGGGAGGCGGAGCUCACACGGUAAUGCUCUGCCGGGAGGCGGAGCUCACACGGUAAUGCUCUGCCGGGAGGCGGAGCUCACACGGUAAUGCUCUGCGGGGAGGCGGAGCUCACACGGUAAUGCUGUGACGGGAGGCGGAGCUCACACGGUAAUGCUGUGACGGGAGGCGGAGCUCACACGGUAAUGCUCUGACGGGAGGCGGAGCUCACACGGUAAUGCUGUGACGGGAGGCGGAGCUCACACGGUAAUGCUGUGACGGGAGGCGGAGCUCACACGGUAAUGCUGUGACGGGAGGCGGAGCUCACACGGUAAUGCUCGGACGGGAGGCGGAGCUCACACGGUAAUGCUCUGGCGGGAGGCGGAGCUCACACGGUAAUGCUCUGACGGGAGGCGGAGCUCACACGGUAAUGCUCGGACGGGAGGCGGAGCUCACACGGUAAUGCUGUGGCGGGGGGCGGAGCUCACACGGUAAUGCUCUGGCGGGAGGCGGAGCUCACACGGUAAUGCUCGGACGGGAGGCGGAGCUCACACGGUAAUGCUCUGGCGGGAGGCGGAGCUCACACGGUAAUGCUCUGGCAGGAGGCGGAGCUCACACGGUAAUGCUCUGUCGGGAGGCGGAGCUCACACGGUAAUGCUGUGACGGGAGGCGGAGCUCACACGGUAAUGCUCUGUCGGGAGGCGGAGCUCACACGGUAAUGCUCUGGCGGGAGGCGGAGCUCACACGGUAAUGCUCUGACGGGAGGCGGAGCUCACACGGUAAUGCUCUGACGGGAGGCGGAGCUCACACGGUAAUGCUGUGACGGGAGGCGGAGCUCACACGGUAAUGCUGUGACGGGAGGCGGAGCUCACACGGUAAUGCUGUGACGGGAGGCGGAGCUCACACGGUAAUGCUGUGACGGGAGGCGGAGCUCACACGGUAAUGCUGUGACGGGAGGCGGAGCUCACACGGUAAUGCUCUGGCGGGAGGCGGAGCUCACACGGUAAUGCUCUGUCGGGAGGCGGAGCUCACACGGUAAUGCUCUGGCGGGAGGCGGAGCUCACACGGUAAUGCUCUGACGGGAGGCGGAGCUCACACGGUAAUGCUCUGGCGGGAGGCGGAGCUCACACGGUAAUGCUGUGACGGGAGGCGGAGCUCACACGGUAAUGCUCUGGCGGGAGGCGGAGCUCACACGGUAAUGCUCUGACGGAGGCGGAGCUCACACGGUAAUGCUCUGACGGGAGGCGGAGCUCACACGGUAAUGCUCUGACGGGAGGCGGAGCUCACACGGUAAUGCUCUGACGGGAGGCGGAGCUCACACGGUAAUGCUCUGACGGGAGGCGGAGCUCACACGGUAAUGCUCUGCCGGGAGGCGGAGCUCACACGGUAAUGCUCUGUGGGGAGGCGGAGCUCACACGGUAAUGCUCUGGCGGGAGGCGGAGCUCACACGGUAAUGCUCUGGCGGGAGGCGGAGCUCACACGGUAAUGCUCUGACGGGAGGCGGAGCUCACACGGUAAUGCUGUGACGGGAGGCGGAGCUCACACGGUAAUGCUGUGACGGGAGGCGGAGCUCACACGGUAAUGCUCGGACGGGAGGCGGAGCUCACACGGUAAUGCUCUGGCGGGAGGCGGAGCUCACACGGUAAUGCUCGGACGGGAGGCGGAGCUCACACGGUAAUGCUCGGACGGGAGGCGGAGCUCACACGGUAAUGCUGUGGCGGGGGGCGGAGCUCACACGGUAAUGCUCUGGCGGGAGGCGGAGCUCACACGGUAAUGCUCGGACGGGAGGCGGAGCUCACACGGUAAUGCUCUGGCGGGAGGCGGAGCUCACACGGUAAUGCUGUGACGGGAGGCGGAGCUCACACGGUAAUGCUCUGGCGGGAGGCGGAGCUCACACGGUAAUGCUGUGACAGGAGGCGGAGCUCACACGGUAAUGCUCUGGCAGGAGGCGGAGCUCACACGGUAAUGCUCUGUCGGGAGGCGGAGCUCACACGGUAAUGCUGUGACGGGAGGCGGAGCUCACACGGUAAUGCUGUGGCGGGGGGCGGAGCUCACACGGUAAUGCUCUGGCGGGGGGCGGAGCUCACACGGUAAUGCUCUGGCGGGGGGCGGAGCUCACACGGUAAUGCUCUGGCGGGAGGCGGAGCUCACACGGUAAUGCUGUGACGGGAGGCGGAGCUCACACGGUAAUGCUCGGACGGGAGGCGGAGCUCACACGGUAAUGCUCUGACGGGAGGCGGAGCUCACACGGUAAUGCUGUGACGGGAGGCGGAGCUCACACGGUAAUGCUCGGACGGGAGGCGGAGCUCACACGGUAAUGCUCUGACGGGAGGCGGAGCUCACACGGUAAUGCUGUGGCGGGAGGCGGAGCUCACACGGUAAUGCUCUGGCGGGAGGCGGAGCUCACACGGUAAUGCUGUGACGGGAGGCGGAGCUCACACGGUAAUGCUCGGACGGGAGGCGGAGCUCACACGGUAAUGCUCGGACGGGAGGCGGAGCUCACACGGUAAUGCUCUGGCGGAGGGCGGAGCUCACGGCAAGGCUCUGAGAGGAGAAGGAGCUCACAGUAAUGCUCUGGCAGGGGGCGGAGCUCACACGGUAAUGCUGUGACGGGAGGCGGAGCUCACACGGUAAUGCUGUGGCGGGGGGCGGAGCUCACACGGUAAUGCUCGGACGGGAGGCGGAGCUCACACGGUAAUGCUCUGGCGGGAGGCGGAGCUCACACGGUAAUGCUGUGACAGGAGGCGGAGCUCACACGGUAAUGCUCUGGCGGGAGGCGGAGCUCACACGGUAAUGCUCUGGCAGGAGGCGGAGCUCACACGGUAAUGCUCUGGCGGGGGGCGGAGCUCACGGCAAGGCUCUGAGAGGAGAAGGAGCUCACAGUAAUGCUCUGGCAGGGGGCGGAGCUCACACGGUAAUGCUCUGGCAGGGGGUGGAGCUCACACGGUAAUGCUCUGACAAGAGAUGGAGCUCACAGUAAUGCUCUGACAGGAGGCGGAGCUCAAACGGUAAUGCUCUGGCAGGGGGCGGAGCUCACGGUAAGGCUCUGACAGGAGGAGGAGCUCACACACUAAUGCUCUGACAGGGGGGCGGAGCUCACAGUAAUGCUCUGGCAGGGGGCGGAGCUCACAUAGUAAUGCUCUAACAUGGGGCGGAGCUCACAGUAAUGCUCUGACAGGGGGCGGAGCUCACGGUAAUGCUCUGGCAGGGGGUGGAGCUCACCCAGUAAUGCUCUGGCAGGGGGUGGAGCUCACACAGUAAUGCUCUAACGGGGGCGGAGCUCACACGGUAAUGCUGUCGGGAGGCGGAGCUCACAGUAAUGCUCUGGCAGGGGCGGAGCUCACCCAGUAAUGCUCUGGCAGGGGGUGGAGCUCACACAGUAAUGCUCUAACGGGGGCGGAGCUCACACGGUAAUGCUGUCGGGAGGCGGAGCUCACAGUAAUGCUAUGGCAGGAGGCGGAGCUCACACAGUAAUGCUCUGGCAGGGGGUGGAGCUCACCCAGUAAUGCUCUGGCAGGGGGUGGAGCUCACAAGGUAAUGCUCUGGCAGGGGCGGAGCUCACACAGUAAUGCUCUGGCAGGGCGCGGAGCUCACACGGUAAUGCUGUCGGGAGGCGGAGCUCACAGUAAUGCUCUGGCAGGGGGUGGAGCUCACCCAGUAAUGCUCUGGCAGGGGGUGGAGCUCACCCAGUAAUGCUCUGGCAGGGGGUGGAGCUCACAAGGUAAUGCUCUGGCAGGGGCGGAGCUCACACAGUAAUGCUCUGGCAGGGCGCGGAGCUCACACAGUAAUGCUCCAACAGGGGGCGGAGCUCACGGUAACGCUCUGACAGGAGGCGGAGCUCACAGAGUAAUGCUCUGGCAGCAGGCGGAGCUCACACGGUAAUGCUCUGACAGGUGGUGUUCACAGAGUAAUGCUCUGGCAGGGGGCGGAGCUCACACAGUAAUGCUCUGACAGGUGGCGGAGUUCACAGUAAUGCUCUGGCAGGGGGUGGAGCUCACACAGUAGCUCACCGGCCCACUGCUCACCUCCUACUGUGCGGCCUGGUUCCUAACAGGCCAUGGACUGGUAACAAUCUGUGGCCUGGGGAUUGGGGACCCCUGAUUUGAAUAAUCAAGGACACACUCACCUAGUAAACCGUCUGCCAAGAAAAAGGAGGAAAUGUUAGUUUUCUCCAUUCGUUCUCAGGCACCAACAUUAAUUUGAACUUAGAAAUAAACUACAAGGCCAGGCAUGGUGGUUUGUUCACACCUAUAAUUCCAGCACCUUGGGAGGCCAAGGAGGGAGGAUCACUUGAGACCAGCCUAGGCAACACAGUGAGACCCUGUCCCUACAAUUACAAAAUAAAUGAGCUGGGCAUGGUGGUGCACACCUGUAGCCCCAACUACUCAGAAGGCUGAGUCAGGAAGAUCACCUGAGCUGCCCAGGAGUUUGAGGCUGCAGUGAGCUGUGAUUGUACUACUGCACCGAUCCUGUCUCAAAAAAAAAAAAGAAAAGAAAAAGAAAAAAGAAACUAUACAAAAUAUCUGGAUUUUGAUGUAACACAAUACAAAGAUUACAUUUGAUUUUUAGGUCAACAAAUAUGACUAAAGUCACAACAGUAAAAUAUUUCAAAUGGAUUUGGAAAUAAAAGAAAGUUUGUUCAUUUAUAUUUUAUUUAAGAGCUGUGCCCAGUUUUAUCAUCUCACAAGAAUGAAGCAAGGGACAAAGGUAAGUGCCACGCUCCCUGGCCACUGGGUUCCUGGCAAGCUCCCAGCCACUAGGUGCCAAUCUCCCUUCAAUGUACUCCUUCUUCCCCAGAGUGCAGAAGCGUAUGAAGACAGUUAUGACAUGGACACAUGCAUGAGCUAUUAUACAUAAUUACAAAAGCUGAUUCUGUCAUCACCACAUCUUGUCUCAUCAGUAGGAGCGAAUGGCUGGCGGGACGGUGGCACAGUCAGCCUCGUUCAAAGUUUUGUCGAUCACGGGUCUGAGCUCCACACUGACCUUCCCAGUGCCAACGUCCACAUAGGACAGGGUGUGCUUCCUCCAGUGCUCCUCAAAGGGCUUCUUCUGUUGCCCCUGGAUGGGCUUGGAGUAAUCGUACUCAUCAAUCCGCACCUGAGGCCAGAAACACCAU
rnacentral:lncRNA from 1 species